rnacentral:rRNA from 1 species
GUAACACGUGAGUUACAUGCCCUGCAGAGGGGAAUAGCCCGCCGAAAGGCGGAUUAAUACCCCAUGGUCCCGCGAGGGUAAAGGUGGCUUCGGCUGCCGCUGCAGGAUUGGCUCGCGUCCUAUCAGCUUGUUGGUGAGGUAACGGCUCACCAAGGCGACGACGGGUACCUGGUCUGAGAGGACGAUCAGGCACACUGGAACUGAGACACGGUCCAGACACCUACGGGUGGCAGCAGUCGAGAAUAAUUCACAAUGGGCGAAAGCCUGAUGGUGCAACGCCGCGUGGAGGAUGAAGGCCCUAGGGUCGUAAACUCCUGUCAUUUGAGAGUAAGACCUGGCGGUGAACAGCCGACAGGGUUGAUAGUAUCAGAAGAGGAAGGGACGGCUAACUUCGUGCCAGCAGCCGCGGUAAUACGAAGGUCCCGAGCGUUGUUCGGAAUCACUGGGCGUAAAGGGAGCGUAGGCGGUCUGGUAAGUCAGAUGUGAAAUCCCGGGGCUCAACCCCGGAACUGCAUCCGAUACUGCCUGACUUGAGUAAUGGAGGGGUAACCGGAAUUCUCGGUGUAGCAGUGAAAUGCGUGGAUAUCGAGAGGAACACUCGUGGCGAAAGCGGGUUACUGGACAUUUACUGACGCUGAGGCUCGAAGGCCGGGGGAGCGAAAGGGAUUAGAUACCCCUGUAGUCCCGGCAGUAAACGGUGUGCGCUUGGUGUGAGGGGUUUCG